GGAUGAAGAACGUAGCGAAAUGCGAUAAGUAAUGUGAAUUGCAGAGUUUAGUGAAUCAUCGAAUCUUUGAACGCACAUUGCGCCCCUCGGUAUUCCGACGGGCAUGCCUGUCCGAGCGUCGUUUGCAUACCCUCAAGCAGAAUUCAUGUCGGCUUGGUCUUGGGCCUCCGUCCCCCCACUCCCGCCCGCAAGGCAGCGGGGAGGGACGGGCCCCGAAGCGAGCGGCGGCCUCGGAUGCACCGCCGGAACGUCUUCGUGACAACCCGCUCCGGCGCCGUGCGUUCGCGGCUUGCCUGGACACGAAACCCCCCCGCGCAAACAGCGGAAACAAUACAAAGUUCCGACCUCGGAUCAGGCAGGGAUACCCGCUGAACUUAAGCAUAUCAAUAAGCGGAGGA
rnacentral:misc_RNA from 1 species